rnacentral:piRNA from 1 species
UACCGAAGGAAUGAUAGGCAGUACCGGC